ensembl:lncRNA
UAUACAUAUGAGAUGAAUAAUGUAGGGUAUGUAAACAUUAUAUUAGGUAGCAUUGUUUAAAGUGGCUAGUGAUAUAUUUUACAAUUCCCAUUAUUAAAGUGGCUGGAGUUGAGUCAGUGUGUUGGCAGCAGCCACUCAAUGUUAGUGGUGGCUGUUUAACAGUCUGAUGGCCUUGGGCUAGAAGCUGUUUUUCAGUCUCUCGGUCCCAGCUUUGACGCACCUGUACUGACCUCACCUUCUGGAUGAUAGCGGGGUGAACAGGCAGUGGCUCGGGUGGUUGUUGGCCUUCCUGUGACAUCGGGUGGUGUAGGUGUCCUGGCGGAAGAAGGUACUCUGGUCAGAUGAAACUAAAUUUAGCAUUUUAGCCAUCAAGGAGAACGCUGUGUCUGGCACAAAUGCUCGGCUAUUACACAGAACCUAAACCUGCGUGCGUGCGCCAUCGUGCGCAAAUGUAUUUUGUCCCCCUACACCAAUCACGACACCAGGUUAAAAUAUCAAAACAAAUUCUGAACCAAUUGCAUUAAUUUUGGAACAGGUCUAAAAGCAUUAAACAUUUAUGGCAAUUUAGUUAGUUAGUUAGCUUGCUAGCUAAUUUGUCCUAUUUAGCUAGCUAAUUUGUCCUGGGAUAUAAACAUUGAGUUGUUAUUUUACCUGAAAUGCACAAGGUCCUCUAGUCUGACAAUUAAUCCACACAUAAAACAGUCAACUGACUCGUUUCUGGUUCUCUCCUCCUGCCAGGCUUUUUCAUCUUUCAACUUAUGUUGAUUGGCAUCUAAACUUUCAUAGUAUUACUACACCGACCGGCAACACAGUUCGUCUUUCCAUCACCCUCAUGGGUAUAACCAAUGAGGAGAUUGGAGAGGCAGGACUUGCAGCAUCGAUCUGCGUUGGAAAUAGAAUGGAGUUCUAUUUUAGCCCAUGGCAAUGUAGACGCUCGCGAGCAGUGUGGGUGCACUAAUUGAAUAACGUAGAUUUCUAAAUUUAUUUUGCAACUCUCGGGCAUGCGGAAUGAGUGGUGUGGUCAGCUGAUUAAAUUAUUCUUUAGUAAAGGUUGAAUAGUCUAUUCAGCUAUUAACCCUCCCCAACUUGCAACAAAUUGCUGUUCCCAUCUCAUUCCUUUCCCUCUCAUGUGUCAUCAUUCUGCUCCUGAGUGGCUCGCUUGUGGGUGUGCUGGCAGGAUAUGGCAGCAUCUUCAGGUGUGCAUCAAGAAUUCUGCAUACAGUAGCACGUUUGUAUGAAGGAAGUCAAAGCGGACAACUACGAAGAUGGCAUCUCAGGUUAUAUCAGCUGUUUUGGUGAACCCCUCCAGCAUCUGAAAUGGCUGAAACAGCGGGCACAGCAUGAUCAUAGGUAUGUUUUGAUGUGAGAGGAAGCCAGUCCCGUCAUCGCCACCUCAUCAACUCUUCCUCGCCUUCUGGGGGCCCAAGGCUGGUUAGGAGACACCACAAUUGUGAUGAACUGAGAAUAUUAGGGUAGCACUAAUUCAUGAAUCGUAUGUUGUCUGCUGCUGCUGUUACCUCUUUCUCUUUGUCUUCUAUACCUCUCUCCCCACCUUGACUGACUGACUUGUUUUAUAAUGCACACCAUACAGUUUGAACUUAUAUUUAUGAUAAUUGUAAUAUUAUAAUUCUAAUGCAUUUAUGUAUUUAUGAAACCUGCAUAAUGAACUUCUUUCAAUAGUGUUUCACGUUCUCCACGGGUUGAAAUUAAGUAUCUCAUUGAAAUACUAUCCUGUGUCCUCAG